rnacentral:rRNA from 1 species
GAUGAACGCUGGCGGCGUGCUUAACACAUGCAAGUCGAACGGAAAGGCCCUGCUUUUGUGGGGUGCUCGAGUGGCGAACGGGUGAGUAACACGUGAGUAACCUGCCCUUGACUUUGGGAUAACUUCAGGAAACUGGGGCUAAUACCGGAUAGGAGCUCCUGCUUCAUGGUGGGGGUUGGAAAGUUUCGGCGGUUGGGGAUGGACUCGCGGCUUAUCAGCUUGUUGGUGGGGUAGUGGCUUACCAAGGCUUUGACGGGUAGCCGGCCUGAGAGGGUGACCGGCCACAUUGGGAAUGAGAUACGGCCCAGACUCCUACGGGAGGCAGCAGUGGGGAAUAUUGCACAAUGGGCGGAAGCCUGAUGCAGCAACGCCGCGUGCGGGAUGACGGCCUUCGGGUUGUAAACCGCUUUCGCCUGUGACGAAGCGUGAGUGACGGUAAUGGGUAAAGAAGCACCGGCUAACUACGUG